UGCUCCAUUAACACGAAAAAGCAAUUAUUCCACGCACGGUAGUAGCUAUCUCACUAAGUGUCCACCUGGAGCCCACUUAGUCUUGCAUGCCCAGCCAUCAUGUUGAAGCUAUCGCUAAUUCUCCUCUCAGCUGGUCAGAAGUACUUCGGGUUUCUGCUACCAGUUGCAGGGCUGCCGCAGUACGUCCCACCGUUGGGGCGCCCAGCUGUUCAGCACAGGGCAGCGGAAGCUCUAGCGUCUCCUGCUGACUAUCCGUACUCGCCUCGGUAUGAACCAGAGCUAACACGAGUUUUGUGCGAAAGAAGAUCAGCGGAUAAGUCGGAUGAGUAUUGUGCCGGAAUCUGUCGGAUGCUUCAGAUGGGCAAGUCCGGUUCUUGCGAUGGCAGAUGGCACGUGUGCAUUUGUUGGAAAAUAAAGCACGUGUUUUAAAUGGAA